rnacentral:rRNA from 1 species
CGUGUAGGCGGAGAUUCAAGUCAGAUGUGAAAUCUCUGGGCUUAACCCGGAAACUGCAUUUGAAACUGAAUCCCUUGAGUAUCGGAGAGGCAAGCGGAAUUCCUAGUGUAGCGGUGAAAUGCGUAGAUAUUAGGAGGAACACCAGUGGCGAAGGCGGCUUGCUGGACGACAACUGACGCUGAGGCGCGAAAGCGUGGGAGCAAACA